rnacentral:rRNA from 1 species
CGAUUGCCGAUGCUUAUUCCCCAGAUACCGUCAUUGCUUCUUCUCCGGGAAAAGAAGUUCCGACCCGUAGGCCUUCUACCUCCACGCGGCAUUGCUCCGUCAGGCUUUCGCCCAUUGCGGAAACUUCCCCACUGCUGCC